GGUUUAUUUCUGAGAAGUAGUUCCACUGCUAUUUACAACACUGAUUGUUGAAGUUUCAGGAUCUAAAAACAGAUACUAUUCAAAUGCCUUCAUCCCUGAAGUUCUUUUGAAGCUUCUGAAAACCUGGAAAUGCCAACUGGGAGAGACUGGUGUCCGUCAAAGGAGAACACAGUGAUACUACUGGGAAAAGGCAAGGUCAGAAAAGUCAGGGAAUUUUGAUAUGGUCAUUUGAUGGUUAGGUUAGCAAGAUUAUUCUCCUUAGUAGUCAGCAAUAUUUCUGAGUUGUAGUAAUGAUGUGUUUUUAUGGGUCUCCAUUUCCUCUCUCAUCUUUAAUUAAACACAAGACACACAUCAAAUUCCCAAUGCACUGCUGAACACAGCCUUUGUUUGCUUAAUGGUUAAGCCUCAACAGAGAAAAUUUCUGCUGUACCCCCAGUGACCCAGUCACUGUAAAUCAACUGCACCCUACUAAAAAAUAAAUGCAAACGAAAGGACGCACAGAGACAGGAGAAAUGUCAUGUGCAUGCCUUUGUUUUCACGUCCGAACGACGAGCACAGGUAAAAGGACCGUAGAGCGCAGUGAGGAUGACCACCGGCAGUUCCAAAGGAGUUUUGAGGAGCCAUGUGCCGACAGAGCAGCGGCUGCACCCACUUACGCAGCCCCUUAGCAGCAAACGUCACGGAAGGGACCGCACGUCUCAGAAAACCGACAGGCCUCCGGUAAGAGUCCACCUGGGUGAUACAAUGACCAUUCUUAUUGGACCUGAGUCUUUCUCGAGCCCUUUGGCAAAAUGGAGUUAGCAGCUGCAGCCCUGCUCUAAUAAUACUGUAGCCGAAUCAGGCACCCCUACACUUUACAGCCGGGUGCUUCUUAUUUCUUUUCUGCUUUAACUUUUUAAUUUUUUUUUAAGGCAUAGUUGAUUUACAGUGUGGCGUCAGUUUCUUCUGUACAGCAAAGUGACUCAGUCAUCCAUAUAUAUAUACAUUCUUUUCCUCACAUCAUCUUGUAUCACGUUCUAUCACAAGUGAUCGGACAGGGUUCCCUGUGCUGUACAGCAGUUCCCCAUUGCUUGUCCAUUCUCAGUGUAAUAGCCUGCAUCUACUAACCCCUUUUUAGAGCCGCACCUGCAGCAUAUGGAAGUUCCCAGGCUAGGGGUCAAAUUGGAGCUGCAGCUGCCGGCCUGCACCACAGCCACAGCAUGGUCUGUGACCUACACCCCAGCUCACGGCAGUGCUGCACGGUUAACCCACUGGUUGGGGCCAGGGAACGAACCGCAUCCUCAUGGAUACUCGUCAUGUUCGUUCCCACUGAGUCACAGUGGGAACGCCAGUAUUAUUAAACUUUGAUUUCUGCACUCCACUGAUUGAAUGCCCACUAUGUGCCAGGCACUGUUCUAGAUUUGGGGCAUCUGAGAAAGACGAACCUAAAUUUUGUUUUUAGAUAACUUUCUUUAUGAAAAAGGAGAUGGCUAAAAGGCCUGCAAAAGUCAGGCAGCAAUAAGGGCUGGGUUAUUUCUGGAGGGAGGGUGGGGUAGGUGGGAAAGAGACCCCCCCGCGCCCCAGGAACUGGUAGUUCUGGUCUCCAAGGACAUCACUGAAACCCCCACUUCCCGUGGCAGAGUAGAAAUGACAGGCGCACAGGGGGAAAUGCCCUCCAGUUUUCAGGACACGAGAUUCCUCCUCAGCGACCCCAUCGUAACCCUGACUCUGCCAUUUGCUUCCGCCACAGGGAUCGACGUGAGCCCAUUACACGGUCUAUCAUGCCCUCAAAGUGCCCACUCCUUCAGUGACGAUGCGAGAAUCUGCCUGUCGACUGAGGCCAAGUUGGAGUAAAAACAAAGGUAUGUUUCAAUCUGUAAUCAUUUAUCACGAGUUAAAGUGUGACGCCUGAUACAAAAGCAAAUGCCUUCAUGACCCUGCUUUCAAUUUGUAGCUUCUUACAUGUUCUUUUCUUUUUUUUGUCUUUUCAGGGCUGCGUGUGUGGCUCACGAGAGCUCCCAGGCUAGGGGUCACAUCGGAGCUAGAGCUGCUAGGGGUCACAUCAGAGCUAGAGCUGCCGGCCGAUGCCACAGCCACAGCAACACCAGAUCCGAGCCGCACGUGCAACCUACACCACAGCUCACGGCAACGCUGGGUCCUUAACCCACGGAUUGAGGCCAGGAAUCGAACGCAUGUGCUCAUGGAUACUAGUUGGAUUCGUUACUGCUGAGCCACAAUGGGAACUCUAUUCUUACAUAAUUUUUCAAUGAGAAGAAAACAAAAUAUUUAUAAAUAUAAUCUAAUGUGUCAAUUUCCAAUUCUCUUGAGCGAUUUCACAUUGUCAUUAUAAUAUUCAUUAUAUCUGUCCAGCAGGAUGGUCCAUACCAGAAAGCAACUACACAUUCUCAAGGGUGAACUAGAAACAUUUCUUUUCAUCAUCCCUUUCCCCUUUUCCCCAGUGACUACAAAUUAAACUAUGAGUAAUUUUCACUUUCUUUAAAGCUGCCAACAGGGUGGAAUUACUACCAUUUUUUUUCCCUGCAAAAGAGAGUCACAACUGGGGUGAAGCCAUCAUUUUGCAGAAAGA
rnacentral:lncRNA from 1 species